AGCUACUUAUACAAUUGCAUUGAAUAUACAGCAGGGAAAAGGGCCAGGGAGUGGGGAACAGACUGGUCCUGCGGAGUCAUUUUUUGAGUGUCUGCAACAGAUUUUUUCCCAGUGGCAAAAAGGGCAAGGUGGGGUGGAAACUGGGGUGCUAGGAGGGAACAAGGUGGCGCUCGAGUCAGGAAAAGAUGGGCAGACGGCCGCUACAAGGGUGACAGAGGCGGCAAGCCCUAUAUCAUCAUUAGUUGGGCAAGGGGAGGCGAGCAGUGGGGAAAAGAGCAAGGAGAAAAAAUUGCCACUGUCAGAUUCUGCAAAAGGUAGCACAUAUGUUUGCUACGAGGGCCCAUUGGGGGCUCACCUUAAACAGGAGGUAAAAGAAAAAAUUUGGAAUAGGGAGUAUGUUGACAUUUUUACGCUGUUGCCUCUGGAACGCUUUGGAAUAGACCGAUACGAGAAAGGGAAGGAACAUAGGAAGGAGGAGGAUGAAGAGAGACGUAGAUUUAGGCUGAUUCCCAGAAUAUUCGGGAAUUGGCUGCAAGCUUUUUCUUUAUUGGCCAGUGUUAUAGGGGAAAAGCACCCGGAGGUGUGUUCUGCGUUAUUUUGUUAUCUGGACGGGAUUUUGGAGGCGCACCGAGUGUAUGGCGGUUACGCGUGGCUUCGCUACGAUGAACAGUUUCGUCAACGUAUAGCGGUUCGGGCGGACCUUAAUUGGGAUCAUAGGGAUAUUGGGCUUUGGAUGCGUUUAAUGAACAAUAAAGGGUACCAAGGGUAUACGGGAACAGUGGGGGGUUCAAGUCAGCCCUUUCCCAGUGGCUCCGGCGGACACAGCUCUACUCCGGCCGGGGCGCACAAAAAAGGAGUAUGUUGGCUGUUUAAUGACAGCCAAUGUAAGUGGGGAGCGUCAUGCAGAUUCAGGCAUGAAUGUUCAUGGUGUGGGGGGAAUCACCCUGUCAGCAGAUGUUUUAAAAAAUCAAAGGGAGCUGGGAGCAGAGCGAAAGAGGGUUUUGGAAAAGGGGGUGACUCCGGUGAACCUGGGGGCGAUGCUUCCAUGGUUAAAUAAAUACCCUAAAAAAGAGAAGGCCUUGCUGUUAAAAAGAGGGGUUCCAGUGGGGUUUUUGAAUACCAGAAAGAGAAGGGGGUGCGGGGUUUGUUUCGCUCAGAAAUUUACUCUCAGCAAUGGCGGACCCGGAUUUGGUUCUUACAAAGUUACACAAGGAAGUGUCAUUGGGUAGGAUGGCCGGCCCGUUUGAAGAACCACCAUUGGCGGGUUUGAGAGUAUCCCCAUUGGGCUUGGUGCCCAAGAAAGAGCCAGGAAAAUUAAGGCUAAUCCACCAUUUAUCACACCCAAGGGGCGAUUCAGUGAACGAUGCAAUUGACAGUGAACUGGCAAAAGUUUGUUAUACAUCAUUCGAUGAAGCAGUGCGGUUGGUUAGAGAGGCGGGCAGGGGCGCUUUGAUGGCAAAAGCCGACAUUGAGUCGGCAUUCAGACUCCUGCCGGUUCAUCGUGAGUCGCUUCAUUUACUGGGUUGUUUUUUCGCUGGAGGUUACUAUGUGGAUAGGAGCUUACCAAUGGGCUGUUCAAUUUCUUGCUCAUAUUUUGAGGCUUUCAGCACUUUUUUGGAAUGGGUGGUACGACAGAGGGCUGGAGUGGAUGCGAUAAUUCACUAUUUGGACGAUUUUCUUUGCGUGGGCCCCGGGAAUUCGACUCUCUGUGCGAUAUUGCUACAGAGGCUACAAGAAGUUACGGCCGAAUUUGGGGUGCCAUUAGCACAAGAAAAAACUGAAGGCCCAUACACUUGCCUGAGAUUUUUGGGCAUAGAGAUAGACAGUAUUCGACAGGAGUGCAGGAUUCCAAAAGACAAGAUAGAGGGGCUUACAGAGGAGGUGAAAUAUGCGCGGGUAGCAAGGAAGCUGACCUUGAGGCAACUGCAGUCCCUUUUGGGAAAAUUGAAUUUUACCUGCAGAGUAAUCCCUAUGGGCAGGGUUUUUUCGAGAGGCCUGUCGUUGGCUACGGCGGGAGUACAGCAACCUCACCAUUUUAUUCGCCUUAACAAAGGCCACAAGGCUGAUUUAGAGGUUUGGUUGACAUUCUUACAGGAAUACAAUGGGCGGUCCUAUUGGUUGUCUGACCCUAAGUCCAACAGGGAUUUGGAUCUGUUCACGGAUGCAUCCGGAGCACUGGGCUUUGGGGCAUAUUUCAAGGGCGCCUGGUGCGCUGCACCGUGGCCACAACAUUGGGUAGCAGCUCGAUCGACAGUGAAUUUAAACCUGUUGGAGUUGUUUCCUAUCGUAGUGGCAGUGGAAAUUUGGGGGCGGCAAUUGGCCAACAACUCAGUGGUAUUUCACUCAGACAAUAUGUCCACUGUUAUGGCAAUAAAUAACUUGAAAUCAGGAUCGCGCCCAGUGCUGGGGCUACUGAGACAUUUGGUACUGCGUUGCCUUCAGCUUAAUAUUGCCUUUAGAGCAAGACAUGUACCGGGGUGUGAUAACAAUGUUGCUGAUGCGUUAUCUCGUUUUCAGUGGGACAAGUUUCGGGAGCUGGUGCCAGAAGCGGAUAUCCAGGGAACACCUUGCCCGGACCUCGUUUGGCAUCUACUAUAGUAGGGCAUUUGCAGUGCAAAAUUUGGCUGCUGGGACACUCAUUCAUCCGUCGGGCAGCAGACAGGGCAAAGAUUCGCCCAGGGGGGCAACAGAUGGGUUUCUUGGAGGAGCAGGCAAAGGAACAGGUCAGUAAGACUUAUGAAGAGCUGAACAUGUUUAAACCAUCUCCUUCCCCAGCACUGACACCUCUGUUAUUAAGGCCCCCAGAGUCACAGUAGAAGGACUCAUGAAGACCCAUUUUGCAGUUGGUACAUGUUUUGGAGUGGAGCAAAGACCCAAUAAGCUGAUAAAUAAAGUACAUUAGCUCAA